GCAUUUUCUUAUAGUUCUUAUGGUUCUCCCCAGAACUAUAAAGUGUUCUUUUUUAUAGGCCUCGGAUUUGUCAUUUUUAAAUGAGAUGGGAUAGAGUGAUCUCUAAGGCCAUUUGCAGUUCCUAUGGUCUAUGACCAUGAUGAUUUUACAAGUGUAGAGAAGGCAUGUGAAGUACUUGAUCUGAAACAUGCUAAUGCAGAUAAGUGUUAUGCUAACACUGCUCAUUUAAGAUGCAUGGUGUUAUCCACAUUGCUGAACAAUCACUCUGUUGCUUUGGGGAGAAAAGGAUAGAAUAAGUACCCCAUUGCUUGAGUCAAGCUGGAUGAACCAUUAUCUAGAAGCAAAUGAUUGGAGCCUGGAGGCAGGCCAAGGAACAAGUCCCAAGACUCCCUCUGCCCAAAGCUCCUGGCCUGUGUUGGGCCCCUGAGCACGGAGUCCUCCCUGGCAGAAGGAUGCCUCCUCACCCUCUUCCUGAGGGCUGCCACCAUUCCAGUCAUAGCUCCUUGGAGUCACCAACAAACAUACCUUCUCCUUCUCCUGAUUAUUUUACAUGGAAUCUCACCUGGAUAAUGAAAGACUCCUUCCCUUUCCUGUCUCAUCGCAGCCGAUAUGGUCUGGAGUGCAGCUUUGACUUCCCCUGUGAGCUGGAAUAUUCCCCUCCACUGCAUGACCUCAGGAACCAGAGCUGGUCCUGGCGCCGUGUUCCCUCUGAGGAGGCCUCCCAGAUGGACUUGCUGGAUGGGCCUGAGGCAGAGCGUUCUAAGGAGAUGCCCAGAGGCUCCUUUCUCCUCCUCAACACCUCAGCCGACUCCAAGCACACCAUCCUGAGUCCAUGGAUGAGGAGCAGCAGUGAGCACUGUACGCUGGCCGUCUCAGUGCACAGGCACCUGCAGCCCUCUGGAAGGUACAUCGCCCAGCUGCUGCCCCACAACGAGGCUGCAAGAGAGAUCCUCCUGAUGCCCACCCCAGGGAAGCAUGGUAUCUUCCAGGGACCAAGAAGAAAAGACGAAACACAAGAAAACAGAAAAAUCUGGGUCAAUGUGUUACAUGUUCAUGAUAGGCUUCGUCAGCUUGAGUCCUGGCUUUCUCUCUGAUUGAGUAACUUUGGGCAGAACUACUGGACCAAACUGAAGUCAUCAAACUUGGGCUAAGC
rnacentral:lncRNA from 1 species